CAUUGCAUUAAAUGAUAUAUAAUUUGCUUCACACUAAUGUUACUUUUUUUUUUUAUAAAGCCAAGAGGUGGGUUUGUCGGCACAGUAUCCUAAGGCGAACUGGCCUAAUGUUAUUUGGAGCUUUUGACAGAUUGUCACCAUGCAGACUUCUGAAAUAUAUUUCUAAUUGCUUCAUUGCUCGCAUUAGGUUGUCUGGUGGAAUUUUUAAUUGGCCUCUUGAUAUUUGAUUAGUCCAACAUUUUUUUUCUUCUGCAUCUAAAUCUAUCAAAUCUGGAUAUUUAUUUGAGAACCGAUUAGCUACAUAACCUGCCAUAAAUUCUACACAUCUCUUUCUAUUUCAUCAAAUGGUUCUUCAAUGUCCAACUAAAAAAAAAUCAAGUUAAAAUUUGAUUUUGGAAUAUCUGUUUCCUUUACACAAAUACUGCGGUUUUUUGAAUCAACAGUAUCAUUAGAGAUAUCUUUGGACAAUUCUGAACUAUUGAAUAAUUCUGAUGUGAUACAUUCUGAAUUAUUCAACAGACUAUCUUCAUAACCAUCUUCUGUAUUGGUAUUUUCAGUGAAUACUAAGUGAGAAUGCUUACCUAAUACAUACCACCUUAAACUAGAAAAUGUAUUAAAUUAUAAGUGAUACCUUGUAAUCUUACUCAACAUAAAAACAAAUAAA